rnacentral:rRNA from 1 species
UAAUACGGAGGUGGCAAGCGUUACUCGGAAUCAUUGGGUGUAAAGGGCAAGUAGGUGGUCUGUUAAGUGAGGGGUGAAAUCCUGCGACUCAAUCGCAGAACUGCCUUUCAAACUGGCAGACUUGGGGGUGGAAGAGGACAAUGGAAUUCUCGGUGUAAGGGUGAAAUCUGUAGAUAUCGAGAAGAACACCAGCGGCGAAGGCGAUUGUCUGGUCCAUACCCGACACUAAAUUGCGAAAGCUAGGGGAGCAAACAGAAUUAGAUACUCUGGUAGUCCUAGCCGUAAACGAUGAGCACUAGGUGUUGGUCCCGUAAGGGGUCAGUGCCGCAGCUAACGCAUUAAGUGCUCCACCUGGGGACUACGGUCGCAAGGCUA